rnacentral:rRNA from 1 species
CAGUAGCCGCGGGAACACGUAGGGUGCAAGCGUUAAUCGGAAUUACUGGGCGUAAAGCGUGCGCAGGCGGUUACAUAAGUCAGAUGUGAAAUCCCCGGGCUCAACCUGGGAACUGCAUUUGAGACUGUAUGGCUAGAGUGUGUCAGAGGGGGGUAGAAUUCCACGUGUAGCAGUGAAAUGCGUAGAUAUGUGGAGGAAUACCGAUGGCGAAGGCAGCCCCCUGGGAUAACACUGACGCUCAUGCACGAAAGCGUGGGGAGCAAACAGGAUUAGAUACCCGCGUAGUCCCUGUCUCUUAUAC